AUGCAGGAUCUUCUCAACAAGUCGUACAUCUUUCGCCGCGAGGUGCUGAAAGAUAUGUUCGACAAACUAAUGGAGCAUCGGGCCCUGAAUCUACCCGAACCUCAAAGACCCGACCAGGUAAAUAUGGAUGACAAUCCUUUGUAUUGCCCAUAUCACAGGUACGUAGGCCACGCAAUUGAGGAUCGCAUCGCCUUCAAGGAAUGGCUCCAACGAGCCAUUAAUGAGAAAAGGGUCACCCAAGACCCAGAAGCCAUCAAUCCAGACUACCAGACCGUGGACAUGGUGAGCGUGGAAUCAUUGACCUCGUCGGGACAAGGCCAAGCAGGCGAGCCAUCACGGGUUCCGAUCUCUUAG
rnacentral:rRNA from 1 species